AGAAACCCUAAGUAUCUCCCACCGCCCUCUUCUCCGUCUUUCCGUCGCUCCUGCAUCCGCUCCGACGCCUCCUUCACCCUCCUCAACAACGCCUCCACCUGACCACCUCUUGCUUCCUCACUCAAUUGAUAGGCGAUGAUGACGACAGAGAUGGCGUACGCGGUGUUGUCCCCUUCGCGGACUACGGUGGUUUGACGGUGGUGUUCUCCUUUCGCUUAUCUGUCUUCUAAAUUCUUCACUGUCAAUUCUUUACUCUAGCUUCUAAGGUACCCCAAGAACCGUUUGCGACUCUUUUUGUUAACUGUGAGCAGUUUGAUGCUGAACUCAGAGACGAAUGAGAUGCUUGCUUUGAAGAAGAGUGCGUAUGCUUUCGAUAAUUGUGUGGAUGCGAAGCGGACGCUUCAUGAGAUUAAGCUUCUUCCAUAUUUGCAUCAUGAGAAUGUGAGUUUUGCUUUGAUGUGAACAUGUUUGUUUAAUAGAUUUAUGCAGGAUUGUAGAUCUUUUUAUCAAAUGUGAAUUAGUAACCCAUGUU
rnacentral:lncRNA from 1 species